UUCUGAUACAGAUCCUAGUAAGGCGCUCUAGCGACGUUCUGUUGCUAUGGUUACCUCCUCAAGCAAAUGCGAUUUCUUUUCGUAAGUGUUUUUUUGCGCAUUCUGUUGGCCUGCGCUGCACACACGCACUUCCUAGUUAGUGCGUGUGCAGUCAGCACAGGAAUCUAAAGGUGCAUCAUAUGCACCUGCAAGCUCUGUGGUGAUUUUAACAAUUAGCCCAUAGAUGUGCAAUUGAAUCUAAUGUUACGUAGCCUAUAAGCUUCGUAUAGCCUACGCCUCUACCUAAAAUCUGAGUUGAUUAUGUGGAUAAAUUGCGUUUAUUUCUUUGCGUAUUCGCGGAUAGAACGAAACCGACGAGCUUUCUUUUUAGUCUGCCCAUAUGCCAAUCCAAAACAGCGAGAGAAAUAAGAUGGGCGUAACUCUAAAUGGAUCAUGCACGCAGACUUUGGAACAAUAACUCAUCAAUUCACGACGGGACGCCGUUUAAGCGCGAGCUGCUUGAGUUUCUGCACACGUCCGUCCACGCAAGGGGACCAACGACAGACUCGAUCAUAGCAGUCCUCGGAGUAGUAGCACUGGAUACUUAGCAGGAAUCUGGAGAGCAAGUUGUGCACUUGAGCGUCAGAUCACUUAAGCCAAACGCCAAUGCCUGUUUGUAACUAAUUGACAUCAGUACUUUUCGUGAAGUAGAUGCGAGUUCUAUUCGCGAUUCUCGGGAAUAGUUCGUGGUUUGAACAAAUGCAUUGCUGCAAAGACCUCUGCCUUUACCAGUUUUUUUGAUAUUUGCUUGUGGAUUAGAUACUAUUAUGGAUCACCUCAAGUUUGGCACUGGAGGUGAGAGGUCAUUGUCCACUAAAAGGAAAAAGAGACCUUGGAAAUCAGUGAUAAAACAGUGAAAUGAACUGACCUCAGAUCAGGAGUCGGAAGACGAGCGGAGAGUGGGAGUAGCGAUAGUGGUGGAGGAGUGAACCCGGAGCAGGUGAACACAGCUGCGGACCGCCAUGGGCUCUCUUCCAUUGGUCCCGACUCUCCGUCUUCGGGUCUCUGAGAGACGGCAGGGGCCAGCCAGGGAGCGUCGGAGUGGGCAGGCGAGGCAGCUCGCUUUCCCCGCCGGCUACCGGCUCCUCGGCAGCGAGGAGGGAGAGAAAUCAAUACUGAGGAGAGAUGCUGCCAGGGGUCGCCCAAUGCUGCCUCCAGCCAUGGAGCCAUGGGAGCCCGAGUGUUCGGCUUUCUCUCUCUCGCAGCCCAAUCUCAGUCAACUCGCAUCAGCUAAAGAGAGGGCCAACAGCCUUGACGCUCUUCAUGCAACACCGAGUGUGUGUGUGCUUGCGUGUGUGGUUCUGCCAGAGGGCCUUUCCAGGCUCGGCAUCACUUGAUAAAACUUUGCCUGCUGGAGAACGAGUAGAAAAAGAAUGUCAAAGGUCUUUCUUUCCCCCAUCUUUGAUUCCUUUUUCGCCAUGAGUGCACAUUCCCCCUGACUGUUGUAAUGAGUGCUUGACGGAGAUCUCUUUUACGCUAAAUCAAGAGGCCUUCUUUUUUUUAGUGGUCCUCCUCCUAAGCAUGCACAAAGUGCUCUACAUCUGAUGGGCCGGGAUGAGAGAGCAGUUUGAAUCCUUUUUCCACCUGGCUUUACAUGAUGUUUUUUUGAUGGACGCCACUAUUCGAGAGGCUCGGAAAAGGACUUGGCCUUAGGUGAAGCUUUUGGCGCUUACCCUUCCUGGGCACUUUGUAACUGCUUUCACCCUUGACCGUGGCACUUGAUGGGUAUUAAUAACGGUGCGGACCAAUCGAGGACAGUGCGAGAUGAAGUUCCCAAAAAGUUGCUCCCACAAGGUUGCAGAUCCAUUGGGAUGUGGACAACUGAAACAUGGCCUGAACAAUUCGAAAAGUGGAGUGCUGGUGGCAGUGGAUAGUUCCUGUAUCCUUGGAUGCCCAACGGGAAGUCGGAUAUGGUUUGGGACUAAAUUUCGAUGCCAGGAUCAACACGGACCAUCAAGAGGAGAUGUUUUUCCUUUUUUUUUUUUUUUUUUUUUAUUACUGUACACAACUGUUUUUCAGUAAGACUACGUAUGUUAUUUUGGUGAAUCUCUUUUUUGUCAUCAAUAAAGUAUUUUUGGACAAUAACGGUAAGUUCAUUUUUUUUUAAAAGACUUUUGAAAUGUACAGGACAAAGGAUCAGUUAAUAAUAAAUGAGACUGACUUACUGGCAGUUUAAAAAGUUUAAUUGAACUUAGUCUUGAAUAGAUAGAUAGAUAGAUAGAUAGAUAGAUAGAUAGAUAGAUAGAUAGAUAGAUAGAUAGAUAGAUAGAUAGAUAGAUAGAUAUUCAGAUAUGUAUAUAUUCAUAUAGAUGGAUAGAUAUUCAGACAGAUGGACAUUCGUGUAGAUAGAUAUUCAGAUAUAUACAGUAGAUACUCAGAUGGUUAUAUAUUCAGAUAUAGACAUAGAUGGAUAGAUAUUUAUAUAUAGAUAUACAGAUAGAUAUUCAAAUAGCUAGAUGGAUAGAUGUGCAGAUAGAUCUUCAUAUAAAUGGAUAAAUAAUCAGAUAAGAAAAGUUUGCAAAAACAGAUAAUUCCAUUUUUUUAAAUGUUCAAAAAUCUUGUUUUUUUUUAUUAUGUUAUCAUGUUUUUAUUGUGUUAGUUAGCUGUAUUUAUUUAGUUAUUUUGACUUAAUCAAAAUAACUCAACUGCAGUUUGAUUGAGAUUAAUUGGAAUGCACAAUGAAAAACAUGAUUUUUGAAAAUUGUUUAAAAUGGAGUUAUGUUUUUGCAAAUUAACUCUUCAUAUUCAAAUAGAUGUGUAGAUAUUUGUAUAGAUAGACAGAUAGAUAGAUAUUUAUAUACAUAGGCAGAUACGUUGAUAGUUGUAGAUACUUACAUUUGCUAUGCUGUAAACUAUUUCCUGCCUAACUGCCUUGAAUUUAAGAUAUAAGUGUUUAAAUAA